rnacentral:rRNA from 1 species
AUGCGAUGCAAGACCAGUUCCGGCUCCCGCUCCGGCCAUGACGACGACCAUCCAGUCCGUGAAGGCCCACCAGAUCUUCGACAGCCGCGACAACCCCACCGUCGAGAGUUCGGGUCUGCGCUCGACGAUGAGGGGAAGGGCGCGGCCGCGGUGGCCACCGGCGUGCGGGACGCCAACAAGCGCACCGCGCUGCACUUCGCCGCCCGGGAGGGCCAGACAGAGGUCUGUAAAUUCCUUAUCGAGCAGCUCCGCCUCCCCGUUGACCCCAAGGACGACGAUGGACACAUUGAUAUUAUGAAGCUUUUGCUUGGUAAGGGAGUCGAUGUCGAAUCCGAAAGCGAGUCAGGUACUCCCCUUGUUUGGGCCGCUGGUCAUGGACAGCAAGACGCGGUCAAGCUUCUGAUUGAACACAAUGCUAAGUCGAACACUGAAACUGCUGAUGGUAUCACUUCACUCUUGUCUGCUGUUGCUGCUGGUUCCCAAAGUAGCCAUAUGGAUUCUGUUGGUUCCCAAACAUGUACAGGCUGGAAUUAUCUAGACAAGUCCACGUGUCUAUGA